AUAUGUAAUAAAUGUCCUAAAGGCACCUGAUCCAAUCUGAUUUUUGAAACUUAGAUAGGAUCUGCUCUGGUUAGUUCUUGGAUGGCAGGCCGCUAGUGAAUACCAAGUGCUACAGGCU
rnacentral:rRNA from 11 species